AUAACAAGUAGUUGAUAAACAAAAUGUGAAAAAGUUGAGGAAAGGAAAGAGGUACAGAAGACCCAACGGCUAAUGCGCACUUUUAAGGAGCCUCUGCCCCAUCUGUUCAUAAGAAAUUACUUGUUGAGAUUUGUAGCACCUGUAUUUUUGUUUUUUUUUUCUUUUUUUCUAUUCAGAAUGAGACAAUCCAAGCCACCAAUAUGCUUACUUUUAUUUAGCAACUAGUGAUAUUAACCCUGUUUGUAGCCAUUAUCUGUUAUAACUAUUGGCUACGGAGUAAAAAUGACAACAUAAUUUGAUUACUAUUUGCAGAUUCAGAUUCAAGGAGUUUCUCGGGGAGUGAUUCUAAAGCAGACAUUGGGCACUUGUAGCAGCCAUACAGGGCUUUUGUUACAUAUGCUCUAACAUGACCAAUAUGGGUGAGCUAAUGAAGGCAUUUGCUUGAUUAGGCAUGCCUUGAGCAAACAUUUUGACAAAUUGACAAGGUGCUGUGAACAUUGCUUUAUUGGUGUAGUUUGGGAGUAGCUAUUUGAUUGGGUGCUAAGUCCCUUUUCUUGAUGUUUUGUAGUGUGUAACAGUUGUAAAAAUGAGUAUAGAAAAUUUUUAGGCCAAAAAGGGUAAUAAAAUGCGGUGAAAAUCCUAGCAACAAUGCAUUAGAGAUUAGGAAUAAGAUGGUGUUCUCUUUUUUAACUUAUCUUGUACACAUUACAUCAGUAAAUAGAAUUAUCCUCUUCCAAGGAGGUCUUUUCACGAAUUUAUAUUUAAACUGUUGGAAAGUAUCACCAAUUUUAACCAA